GUACAUAAAUGUUUGUAUAUGUACACAUAUGUUCAAUAACAUUGAUGGUGAAUGGGGAUGGAAACUUCUGGAGCCCCUCACGCUGAGUGGCAGGGGAUUUCUCAAGGAGAAACAGAAAAAACGGUUGAGGGAGCGGGGAGAGACAGUUGGUGCGUGUGCAGCGGAAAGGACGGAGGAGGUGUAAGCAGGCAGCGAUGGUGAUGACAAGCGGAGGAAAGGAUUGGUGAGCUCCGAAACUGUGAAAUCACCCAGAGCAGACGAUACAGGAGAAGCGGGGAACUUACCAUUCACUGCCAAGCAGAGACGCCAUCUAUUGUGCCGAGCUCCUGGAGAGAGCAGAGAGAGGAGCAGAUUGUAGCUGAGAGCCAGUGGCCGCCCUCUUGUGAGUCACAGUGAUGCGGAAGGAGGAGGAUUGCAAGUCCAGCCAGUACAUACAGAAGAGUGCCCAUACAAAGAGAGUUUACUUCUUUAUCCUUUGUCCAGCCAGUAAUUUGCAUGGUAAAAGCCAGUCUCCAAUAACUUUAGUGCCAACGAUAACUUUAUUUUAGAGAUGGACGAUUCUGUUUUUCAGAGAUCCAAAUCCACCCGAAUUUUAUGGAUCUGAACCGAACCAAACCCCAGUCUGGAUCUCCCGAGGAUCUCAGAUCCAAACCGAGUCACAAUUUGGAUCUUCACAUGGUUCGGAAUUUGGAUGUUAAAUCCGAAUUUCUGGUUUUGGACUGCAAAAAUUUACAUGAUUUUAACUGUUUUUUUAGCGAUUAUUAUUAUUAUUAUUGAUUAUUGCUUUUUUUAACUUGAUUUUAAACCGAACCAAAAUCCGAAUCUGAACCAAAACACUUAAGGGUGGUUUUGCAAAACCAAAACACGAUGAGGAAAUAAGAACCAAAACCAACACAUGACACUUUGCGCACAUCUCUACUUUAUUUCAACUUGUACCUAUUUUACUCUUUUACUUUUCUUUAAUUGCUCCAAAAUUAAACACCAUCACAACUCUAUGGUAAAUGUGCAGCAUGUAAAUUGAUCAAGUGUGUAAAAAGUAAAAUUACAGAAUUUUUAAUUUCUGGAAAAUAA